rnacentral:tRNA from 1 species
GUCCCUGUAGCGCAAUGGAUAACGUGUUGGACUUCUAUUCCAAAGGUUGUGGGUUCAAAUCCCACCUAGGAUG